ACGGAGGGUGCAAGCGUUGUCCGGAUUUACUGGGUGUAAAGGGCGUGUAGGCGGGAGGAUGUGUCAGAAGUGAAAUCGCGCGGCUUAACCGUGUCAAUUGCUUCUGAAACUGUCCUUCUUGAAUGCGGGAGAGGCAGAUGGAAUUCCAGGUGUAGCGGUGGAAUGCGUCGAUAUCUGGAAGAACACCGGUGGCGAAGGCGGUCUGCUGGUCCGUGAUUGACGCUGAGGCGCGAAAGUGUGGGGAGCAAACAGGAUUAGAUACCCUGGUAGUCCACACCGUAAACUAUGGUCACUAGAUGUCGGGGGAUUCGACCCCUUCGGUAUCGACGCUAACGCAUUAAGUGACCCACCUGGGGAGUACGCUCGCAAGGGUG
rnacentral:rRNA from 1 species